rfam:Eucalyptus grandis cultivar BRASTZ1 unplaced genomic scaffold scaffold_1, whole genome shotgun sequence.
CAGUCAGAGGAAUGAUGUAUUACUAUCGAGCGCUUAGGAUGCUGGCUUUUCUUGAUUCUGCAUCGGAGGUGGAAAUUCGG